rnacentral:rRNA from 1 species
CCUGCGGAGGGAUCAUUACCGAGUUAUUCAACUCAUCUACCCUGUGAACAUACCUAAACGUUGCUUCGGCGGGAAUAGACGGCCCCGUGAAACGGGCCGCCCCCGCCAGAGGACCCUUAACUCUGUUUCUAUAAUGUUUCUUCUGAGUAAAACAAGCAAAUAAAUUAAAACUUUCAACAACGGAUCUCUUGGCUCUGGCAUCGAUGAAGAACGCAGCGAAAUGCGAUAAGUAAUGUGAAUUGCAGAAUUCAGUGAAUCAUCGAAUCUUUGAACGCACAUUGCGCCCGCCAGUAUUCUGGCGGGCAUGCCUGUUCGAGCGUCAUUACAACCCUCAGGCCCCCGGGCCUGGCGUUGGGGAUCGGCGGAGCCCCCCGUGGGCACACGCCGUCCCCCAAAUACAGUGGCGGUCCCGCCGCAGCUUCCAUCGCGUAGUAGCUAACACCUCGCGACUGGAGAGCGGCGCGGCCACGCCGUAAAACACCCAACUCUUCUGAAGUUGACCUCGAAUCAGGUAGGAAUACCCGCUGAACUUAAGCAUAUCAAUAA